AACGAACGCUGGCGGCGUGCCUAACACAUGCAAGUCGAGCGCGAAUGGAGCAAUCCUAGUAGAGCGGCGCACGGGUGCGUAACACGUGGGUAAUCUGCCUGGAAGAUCGGAAUAACCUGCCGAAAGGCUGGCUAAUGCCGGAUAAGCCUACGGGAUCUUCGGAUCCUGAAGGAAAAGGUGGCCUCUGUAUACAAGCUACCACUUCCAGAUGAGCCCGCGGCCCAUCAGCUAGUUGGCGGGGUAAUGGCCCACCAAGGCAACGACGGGUAGCUGGUCUGAGAGGACGAUCAGCCACACUGGAACUGAGACACGGUCCAGACUCCUACGGGAGGCAGCAGUGGGGAAUUUUGCACAAUGGGCGAAAGCCUGAUGCAGCAACGCCGCGUGUGUGAUGAAGGGCCUUAGGGUUGUAAAGCUCUUUCGGCGGGGACGAUAAUGACGGUACCCGCAGAAGAAG
rnacentral:rRNA from 1 species